GUGGGGAAUAUUGGGCAAUGGGGGAAACCCUGACCCAGCGACGCUGCGUGAGGGAAGAAGGCCUUAGGGUUGUAAACCUCUGUUGUGUGGGAAGAAGAGCGUGACGGUACCACACGAGGAAGUCCCGGCUAACUACGUGCCAGCAGCCGCGGUAAUACGUAGGGGACGAGCGUUGUCCGGAUUUACUGGGCGUAAAGGGCGCGUAGGCGGUCAUUUAAGUCAGCUGUGAAAUGGUUUGGCUUAACCGGAUCAUGCGGUUGAAACUGGAUGACUGGAGUGCUGGAGAGGCAAGUGGAAUUCCCAGUGUAGCGGUGAAAUGCGUAGAUAUUGGGAAGAACACCGGUGACGAAGGCGACUUGCUGGCCAGCAACUGACACUGAGGCGCGAAAGCCAGGGGAGCAAACGGGAUUAGAAACCCCUGUAGUCC
rnacentral:rRNA from 1 species